AGGUAAAAUACACAUCAGAGGAAAUACAACUAAUGGCAGAGCUUUUGCGAAAUGACGCUUUGCGCGAGAAGAGAGAAAAGGCCGCAAAACAUUCUGGAGUCCGAGCUUAAACAGGGACUCCCGCGAAGUCGUAAAUCGAUUUUGGAUGCUGAAAUUGCGCAUUGGAUCUUUACGACAGGCGUAAACUCGGACUAGUUUUUUAAUACUAUCUCUAAAGACACAAUAAAGCUUUUAUGUAUAAUUUUCA